rnacentral:rRNA from 1 species
UUCCAGACUCCUACGGGAGGCAGCAGUGAGGAAUAUUGGUCAAUGGGCGGAAGCCUGAACCAGCCAAGUCGCGUGAGGGAUUAAGGCCCUAUGGGUCGUAAACCUCUUUUGUCAGGGAGCAAUGGCGUCCACGUGUGGGCGUAUGGAGAGUACCUGAAGAAAAAGCAUCGGCUAACUCCGUGCCAGCAGCCGCGGUAAUACGGAGGAUGCGAGCGUUAUCCGGAUUUAUUGGGUUUAAAGGGUGCGCAGGGGGAAGAUCAAGUCAGCGGUAAAAUUGAGGGGCUCAACCUCUUCGAGCCGUUGAAACUGGUUUUCUUGAGUGAGCGAGAAGUAUGCGGAAUGCGUGGUGUAGCGGUGAAAUGCAUAGAUAUCACGCAGAACUCCGAUUGCGAAGGCAGCAUACCGGCGCUCAACUGACGCUCAUGCACGAAAGUGUGGGUAUCGAACAGGAUUAGAUACCCUAGUA